CUAAUGAAUAUUAGAAAAUAUUUGUGAAAAAACUGACAUUAACCCUCCUAAGUACUUCAAUACAAUUGAGGUUAACUAUCCAUUUAAUCUAGCAAAUAUAAGGACAAGAGACAAAAACAAUUGAUGAAUCAGUGGAAGUGCACUAAAUUGAAUACAAAAAAAGAGUUGUCUUCUCUGAGAUCUUAUCGCUGUGAAACAUCAAAAACUGGAGGUGGAACAAAGUCACCAUCACCUUCUCCAGACACAAUGGACGUGGCAGAGAUGAUACCGCAACAGUUUGAAGUCGAUUUCAAUGAAUUUGAUUGUGAAGGUGUCGAGGUAGGAAUGUUAAUUAUAAAUAUGAUGUAUGGUGAUGUUCAAGGUUCAACCUCUCAAGCAUAAGCAUAAUAUGCUCACAACAGUACUUUAUUCUCCUACAGGGUAGUCAGAGAUAUUCUAAUACCUCAAAACAUCCAUGUUGCACUUGUAGUACCAAAACUCUGUCCAGCCAGAAGUGAGCCCAUUCCCACUUAUAAUGGACAGUGGGUAUAAUACACCUUAACACCUGAAUGCGAACCACUCAACAUGAUGAACUUAAAUUAAUAGAUGUUAUUUAUAUAUUUUGG